rnacentral:rRNA from 1 species
CCUACGGGGGGCAGCAGUGGGGAAUAUUGGACAAUGGGGGCAACCCUGAUCCAGCCAUGCCGCGUGUGUGAAGAAGGCCCUCGGGUUGUAAAGCACUUUCAGUGAGGAAGAACGCCUGGUGGUUAAUACCAUCAGGAAAGACAUCACUCACAGAAGAAGCACCGGCUAACUCCGUGCCAGCAGCCGCGGUAAUACGGAGGGUGCGAGCGUUAAUCGGAAUUACUGGGCGUAAAGCGCGCGUAGGUGGCUUGAUAAGCCGGUUGUGAAAGCCCCGGGCUCAACCUGGGAACGGCAUCCGGAACUGUCAAGCUAGAGUGCAGGAGAGGAAGGUAGAAUUCCCGGUGUAGCGGUGAAAUGCGUAGAGAUCGGGAGGAAUACCAGUGGCGAAGGCGGCCUUCUGGACUGACACUGACACUGAGGUGCGAAAGCGUGGGUAGCAAACAGGAUUAGAUACCCGGGUAGUC